rnacentral:misc_RNA from 1 species
AAGUCGUAACAAGGUUUCCGUAGGUGAACCUGCGGAAGGAUCAUUAAAGAGUAAGGGUCUUCAUGGCCCGAUCUCCAACCCUUUGUUUAAACAUACCACGUUGCUUCGGCGGGCCCGUCCUUUGUUGGACCGCCGGAGGGGUUUAUCCCCCUCUGGCCCGUUGCCCGUCGACAGCCAUCAAACCAAAACUCUUGAUAAACCAUGUCGUCUGAGUCUCAAUUUAUAAUUAAAUUAAA